CAGGAUUAGAUACCCUGGUAGUCCACGCCGUAAACGGUGGGCGCUAGAUGUGGGGACUAUUCCAUGGUCUCUGUGUCGCAGCUAACGCAUUAAGCGCCCCGCCUGGGGAGUACGUCCGCAAGGCUAAAACUCAAAGGAAUUGACGGGGGCCCGCACAAGCGGCGGAGCAUGCGGCUUAAUUCGAUGCAACGCGAAGAACCUUACCUAGACUUGACAUAUACGGAAAACAUGCAGAGAUGUAUGGUCCGAAAGGGCCGUAUACAGGUGGUGCAUGGUUGUCGUCAGCUCGUGUCGUGAGAUGUUGGGUUAAGUCCCGCAACGAGCGCAACCCUCGUUCUAUGUUGCCAGCGGUUCGGCCGGGGACUCAUAGGAGACUGCCGUGUCAACACGGAGGAAGGUGGGGGUGACGUCAAAUCAUCAUGCCCCUUAUGUCUAGGGCUGCACGCGUGCUACAAUGGCUGGUACAAAGGGCUGCGAUACCGCAAGGUGGAGCGAAUCCCAAAAAGCCAGUCUCAGUUCGGAUUGGGGUCUGCAACUCGACCCCAUGAAGUUGGAGUCGCUAGUAAUCGCAGAUCAGCAAUGCUGCGGUGAAUACGUUCCCGGGCCAUGUACACACCGCCCGUCACGUCACGAAAGUCGGUA
rnacentral:rRNA from 1 species